rnacentral:tRNA from 1 species
AUCAAAUUAGCAAAAAUUAUGCAAUUGACUUAGGAUCAAUAGACAUAGGUUAAAACCCUUUAUUUGAUA